UGCGGGUGUGGCGGAAUUGGCAGACGCACUAGACUUAGGAUCUAGCGCCUUACGGCGUGGGGGUUCAAGUCCCUCCACCCGCAU
rnacentral:tRNA from 1 species